rnacentral:rRNA from 1 species
ACGAACGCUGGCGGCGUGCUUAACACCUGCAAGUCGAACGAAGCUUGAUUACGGAUUCUUCGGAUGAAGUAUGAUAUGACUGAGUGGCGGACGGGUGAGUAACGCGUGAGUAACCUGCCCUUCAGAGGGGGAUAGCGUUUGGAAACGAACGGUAAUACCGCAUAAUGUAUUUUGACCGCAUGAUCGAAAUACCAAAGAUUUAUCGCUGAAGGAUGGACUCGCGUCUGAUUAGGUAGUUGGUGGGGUAACGGCCUACCAAGCCGACGAUCAGUAGCCGGACUGAGAGGUUGAUCGGCCACAUUGGGACUGAGACACGGCCCAGACUCCUACGGGAGGCAGCAGUGGGGAAUAUUGCACAAUGGGCGCAAGCCUGAUGCAGCAACGCCGCGUGAAGGAAGACGGUUUUCGGAUUGUAAACUUCUGUUCUUAGUGAAGAAUAAUGACGGUAGCUAAGGAGCAAGCCACGGCUAACUACGUG